AGAAUAGGUAUGGCAUCAACAGUGGUCGAGGUAGCUUCCCUCCUCCACUACCCCACCAAUGUGCCUCAAACCU
ensembl:misc_RNA